AACGAACGCUGGCGGCAUGCCUAACACAUGCAAGUCGAACGAGACCUUCGGGUCUAGUGGCGCACGGGUGCGUAACGCGUGGGAACCUGCCCUUAGGUUCGGAAUAACUCCCCGAAAGGGGUGCUAAUACCGGAUAAUGUCUUCGGACCAAAGAUUUAUCGCCUUUGGAUGGGCCCGCGUUGGAUUAGCUAGUUGGUAGGGUAAAAGCCUACCAAGGCGACGAUCCAUAGCUGGUCUGAGAGGAUGAUCAGCCACACUGGGACUGAGACACGGCCCAGACUCCUACGGGAGGCAGCAGUGGGGAAUAUUGGACAAUGGGCGAAAGCCUGAUCCAGCAAUGCCGCGUGAGUGAUGAAGGCCUUAGGGUUGUAAAGCUCUCUUACCCGGGAUGAUAAUGACAGUACCGGGAGAAUAAGCUCCGGCUAACUACGUG
rnacentral:rRNA from 1 species